UUCCGUAGGUGAACCUGCGGAAGGAUCAGU
rnacentral:rRNA from 5 species